rnacentral:rRNA from 1 species
GGAGGGUGCAAGCGUUAUCCGGAAUCAUUGGGUUUAAAGGGUCUGUAGGCGGGCAUAUAAGUCAGUGGUGAAAGUCUGUGGCUUAACCAUAGAAUUGCCAUUGAUACUGUAUGUCUUGAAUUAUUGUGAAGUGGUUAGAAUAUGUAGUGUAGCGGUGAAAUGCUUAGAGAUUACAUAGAAUACCGAUUGCGAAGGCAGAUCACUAACAAUAUAUUGACGCUGAUGGACGAAAGCGUAGGUAGCGAACAGGAUUAGAUACCCUGGUAGUCUACGCCGUAAACGAUGGAUACUAGUUGUUUGGUUUUCGGACUGAGUGACUAAGCGAAAGUGAUAAGUAUCCCCACCUGGGAGUACGUUCGCAAGAAUG